GGCGAACGCUGGCGGCGUGCUUAACACAUGCAAGUCGAACGGAAAUGCCCUGCUUGCAGGCUACUCGGGUGGCGAACGGUUGAGUCACGCCUUUGUGAUCUGCCCUACACUUCGAGAUAAGUCUUGGUAACUAGGUCUACUACCGGGUAGAAGCCUUUUUUCGUUUGAUGGUUGGAAAGUUUUUUCGGUUUAUUGUGUGCUCGCGUCCUAUCCGAUUGUUGGUGGGGUAAUGGGCUCCCAAGGCCGCGACGGGUAGCAGGACUGGGAGGGUGGACGGCCACAGUGAGACUGAGAUACGGACCAGACUCAUACUCGAAGCAGAGGUGGGGGUGGUUGCACAAUCGGCGCAAGCGAGAGGCAGAGACGCCGCGUGGGGGAUAAUGGUCUUGGGGUUAUGAACGCAUUUCGCUAGGGACGAAGCUGUUUGUGACGGUACCUAGAUAAGAAGCCCCGGCUAACUACGUG
rnacentral:rRNA from 1 species